GGUUUCUACAUUGAAGAGAUGGUGAGAAGGAUCUGUCUUUGCCGCAGACCUGAGAGCUGAACCUCAGAAGAAGUCUCCAACAUUGAUGGCAGAGUCCCUGCCUAGCCAUCUCCUUUACCAAGGGACAUCAACUCUGAUCUUGCUAUAUACCCCAGAUUGGACUGAAAGUCAUAAUCCUCCUGCCUCAGUCACCCGAGUACUGCAAUUGUAGCCUUGAGUCAUCUAUCAUUCCCCACUCUGAUUUUCUUCUCUGACUUUCAGUUGUGAGUAGCUGAGUAAAUGAGAGUUGCUGUUCCUCAGCUGUUGAAAGAGCUUGGUGGAAUACGGGGUUUGCACAAAGCCCAACCCCCAAACUCCUUCACCCAUGUGGUAGAAGGAGUGAAUUGACUUCUGAAAGCUGUCUCCUGACCAUUGAACAUGUGUCAGGCCACAUGUGUGCCCAUGUGUACACAGAUGAAUAAAUUAAAAUGUAAUUAAAAUU
rnacentral:lncRNA from 1 species